UACUUUGCGCAGAGGCGGUUCCAUAGCCAAUGAGGGUUAUCCGAGGCGUGGUUAUUGCUAGUUGAAUACUAUGUACUACUACUGUGCCACUAUGUACUACUAUGUAGUGUAUUAAAUCAUAUGUAGUAAACGCAAUGA
rfam:Octopus bimaculoides Scaffold85872_contig_62, whole genome shotgun sequence.